rnacentral:rRNA from 1 species
UACGUAGGUGGCAAGCGUUGUCCGGAUUUACUGGGCGUAAAGAGCGCGCAGGCGGUCGUUCAAGUCGCGUGUGAAAGCCCCCGGCUCAACUGGGGAGGGUCACGCGAUACUGAUCGACUCGAAGGCAGGAGAGGGGAAGUGGAAUUCCCGGUGUAGUGGUGAAAUGCGUAGAUAUCGGGAGGAACACCAGUGGCGAAGGCGACUUCCUGGCCUGUUCUUGACGCUGAGGCGCGAAAGCUAGGGGAGCAACGGGG